AAUAUUGGACAAUGGGCGAAAGCCUGAUCCAGCCAUGCCGCGUGUGUGAAGAAUGACUUCGGAUUGUAAAGCACUUUAUGCUGCGAGGAAUGGAAGUAAGUUAAUACCUAGCUAUUUUGUCGUUACCGACAUCAUAAGCUUCGGCUAACUUCGUGCUCGCAGCCGCGGUAAUACUAAGGGUGCAAGCGUUAAUCGGAAUUACUGGGCGUAAAGCGCUCGUAGGUGGUUUGCCAAGUUGGAGGUGAAAGCCCCGGGCUCAACCUGGGAACUGCUUUCAAAACUGGCAAGCUAGAGUAUGGCAGAGGGUGGUGGAAUUUCCUGUGUAGCGGUGAAAUGCGUAGAUAUAGGAAGGAACACCAGUGGCGAAGGCGACCACCUGGGCUAAUACUGACACUGAGGUGCGAAAGCGUGGGGAGCAAAC
rnacentral:rRNA from 1 species